rnacentral:rRNA from 1 species
UACGUAGGGUGCAAGCGUUAAUCGGAAUUACUGGGCGUAAAGCGUGCGCAGGCGGUUCGGAAAGAAAGAUGUGAAAUCCCAGGGCUCAACCUUGGAACUGCAUUUUUAACUACCGAACUAGAGUAUGUCAGAGGGGGGUGGAAUUCCACGUGUAGCAGUGAAAUGCGUAGAUAUGUGGAGGAACACCGAUGGCGAAGGCAGCC